rnacentral:tRNA from 1 species
GCGGUGGUAGCAUAGUGGUUAAGGAGCUGGGCUAGCAUGCAAAAGUUGUGGGUUCAAUUCCCAGCUUCCACC